rnacentral:lncRNA from 1 species
ACACUGUCAUUAACUCAAGCAAAGAACCAAAAUAAAUGCUACUUUAUCCACUCUGACAAUGACUGGAUGUGAUUAGGGGUGGGGGUGAGUAACAAUUCUAAUGAAGAAACCCUCACACAAGCAAGAUUUCUUUCUCUCGGGCUUCCAGAAUAACCAGCACUAACCCUUGCACCGGAAAUAGGAACUUUGCCCAAGACAAGCAAACAGAACUGCUUAUGAAAAAGCCGUACUAGCCAGUCAAAUACUUUGCUGGUUGGAAAUCGUGUUGUUUACCAAAGAGCCACAUUUGGAGUCUCUCAACCUAAAUUAUCUUUCUAAGGCCCUUUGGGUCCCCACAGAUUCAGGAAAAGAAUGCGAGGACACAGGGAGGCUGUGUGUGAGACGGUGAAGAGGGAGAGGGAUUAUUGAAGUUGGACAGAAAGAAUGCCAGCACCAUACAGAAGAUCCCAAGAUGAAGAAGUUGGUACCACAUGUGGCUAGAUAAUCUCGUCUUCAUUUCUUCAGUUCCCUUGGAUUUCACCUUCAACCGAAAACUUUUCAUCUGGCAGAUACCCACAGGAUGUCUUCUUAUUGGAUUCAACACCUUGGAGAACUAUCUCAAACACAGGGAAAGGAGAGUUUCUAAAGGACAAUAGCAGUGGAGAAGAAUGAACAUGGCUAAACAGCUCUUACGUUUCUGUCUCCCAAACCUCCCUGAGAAGAGGUUGGCAGGUAGGUUUAAAUCAAUAUUCUUCAGUGGUAACAUGUCCUAAGGGAAUCUUCUAGUACAGAAUUAAGAUAAUUGGUGUGUCCUCUCUCCUACAACAGGGAAGUUCAACUGCAACCAUGUCCAGACUCAUAUUCCCCAAAAGUAUUAUCAAGAGACAAAGGCCUCAACAGCCUUAUCCAAAGCUGAGUUCUACUAAUGAUGAUUCUAAGAUGAUAUGCCUAGAAAAAUUCUGAGAGGAAAACUUGAAAUUUGGGUUUAAUUUCAGCCUCUAAUUUUAAGGAGGUCCCCCUACUCCAGUGGAUUUUGGGUUUAAGGAGUAUAGAGUGUGAUGAAAAGGGAAGAGGCUGGUAACUUAAUCUUUAUUGCUGAUAAAUAUCUUUUUAAAUGGUACAAUUCAGCUUAGCCUUUCAAUUCAUACAACUGGGAAUAGAAAAAAGAUCUUAUUCAGAGGCCGGAGUACCUGAAAUGCUUGGAAAGAGGAAGAAUUGAGAGGCCUAAAAGCAUCAAAGGAAUGAAGUCUCCGUGUCCACCAUUUCAAGCAGAGGUUUUCAGUAGAAGGGACUUGGCCCUCUAUCCCUUUUCAGGAUUACCAAAAGAACUCUUAUAGGCCAUACCAUUCUCUCUCUAAAUUCUAGCAUAGACAGCUAACAUAAUCUCUUCAUAGGGAUAAACAGGUUGGAAGGACUUAGGUCACCCACAAAUAGUGAAGGCAGCCCUAAAUACUGGCUACUUAAGUGACAAUAUUUGGCUAUUUGGAAGUCAGGAUCACAUAGCAGUAGCAAUCUCCACAUACUUUUGAGGAGAGCUGUCACUUCUCCUAAAUGAAUCCAUCUUUUUUUUGAUGACUCAAAUAUAUAGACACACACACAAUUACACAAAAUACUCUUACCCAUUCAAACACCAUUUGGCUACUGUACGUGGUAGGG